GAUGAAGAACGUAGCGAAAUGCGAUAAGUAGUGUGAAUUGCAGAAUUCAGUGAAUCAUCGAAUCUUUGAACGCACAUUGCGCCCGCCAGUAUUCUGGCGGGCAUGUCUGUCUGAGCGUCAUUUCAACCCUCAUGCCCCUAGGGCGUGGUGUUGGGGAUCGGCCAAAGCCCGCGAGGGACGGCCGGCCCCUAAAUCUAGUGGCGGACCCGUCGUGGCCUCCUCUGCGAAGUAGUGAUAUUCCGCAUCGGAGAGCGAUGACCCCCUGCCGUUAAACCCCCAACUUUCCAGGGUUGACCUCAGAUCAGGUAGGAAUACCCGCUGAACUUAAGCAUAUCAAUAAGCGGAGGA
rnacentral:misc_RNA from 1 species